rnacentral:rRNA from 1 species
AUUGAACGCUGGCGGCCGGCUUAACACAUGCAAGUCGAGCGAGCGGCGGACGGGUGAGUAAUGUCUGGGAAAAUGCCCGAUGGAGGGGGAUAACUACUGGAAACGGUAGCUAAUACCGCAUACUAUCAGAUGUGCCCAGAUGGGAUUAGCUAUUGGGUGGGGUACUGGCUCACCUAGGCGACGAUCCCUAGCUGGUUUGAGAGGAUGACCAGCCAAACUGGAACUGAGAAACGGUCCAGACUCCGACGGUAGGCAGCAGUGGGGAAUAGUGCACAAUGGGCGCAAGCCUGAUGCAGCCAUGCCGCGUGUGUGAAGAAGGCCUUCGGGUUGUAAAGCACUUUCAGCGAGGAGGCGUUACUCGCAGAAGAAGCACCGGCGAACUCCGUGCCAGCCGCCGCGGUAAUUC